UACAGAGGUCUCAAGCGUUGUUCGGAAUCACUGGGCUUAAAGGGCGCGUAGGCGGGCAUCAUAGUCAGGGGUGAAAUCCUCCAGCUCAACUGGAGAAGUGCCUCUGAUACUGGGUGCCUCGAGGGGUGCAGGGGCGUGCGGAACUUCCGGUGGAGCGGUGAAAUGCGUAGAUAUCGGAAGGAACACCGGUGGCGAAGGCGGCACGCUGGACACCUUCUGACGCUGAGGCGCGAAAGCCAGGGGAGCAAACAGG
rnacentral:rRNA from 1 species